GUUGCCUCGGCAGGUCGCACCUACCUUGUAGCACCCUACCCUGUAGGGCCUACCCGGGAGGUGCGGGUAAGCCUGCCGGCGGCCCACCAAACUCUGUUUGAUAUUGAAUUCUGAACCUAUAACUAAAUAAGUUAAAACUUUCAACAACGGAUCUCUUGGUUCUGGCAUCGAUGAAGAACGCAGCGAAAUGCGAUAAGUAAUGUGAAUUGCAGAAUUCAGUGAAUCAUCGAAUCUUUGAACGCAUAUUGCGCCCAUUAGUAUUCUAGUGGGCAGGACCGUUCGAGCGUCAUUUCAACCCUUAAGCCUUCGUUGCUUAGUGUUGGGAGCCUACGGCAACGUAGCUCCUCAAAGUUAGUGGCGGAGUUGGUUCACACUCUAGACGUAGUAAUUUUUUAUCUCGCCUAUUAGUUGGACUAAUCCCCUGCCGUAAAACCCCCAAUCUAUAUCAAGGUUGACCUCGAAUCGGUUCAGACAAACUCGCUAAAUUGAAGCAUCUUAGUCAGCGAAGGAAAAGAAACCAACAGGGAUUGCCCUAGUAACGGCGAGUGAAGCGGCAACAGCUCAAAUUUGAAAUCUGGCCCUCGGGUCCGAGUUGUAAUUUGUAGAGGAUGCUUUUGGCGCGGUGCCUUCCGAGUUCCCUGGAACGGGACGCCUUAGAGGGUGAGAGCCCCGUACGGUUGGACACCA
rnacentral:rRNA from 1 species